AGUUUAAUUUUCAUCAUGGCUGAGCGCUACAUCAGUUUUCUGUUCCAGCUGCUCUUCUGUCUUGUGUUUUCUUUACCCAUUGGUAGAAACUCUGUAUGCGGUUAUAAGGCACUUCCAGCCACAAAUCCUUCCAUGCUGAAUGUCCAUCUGCUUCCUCACACACAUGAUGAUAUUGGCUGGCUCAAGACUGUGGAUCAGUACUACCAAAGUCUGGAACAAGAACAUGGAUAAGCUGAUCAAGUAUGUAAAUGCCCUGCAAGCUAAAGGAAGCAAGGUGAAUGUGGUUUACUCUACACCGUCCUGCUACCUACAGGAACUCAACCUAGCCAACCUCACCUGGCCUCUGAAGACAGAUGAUUUUUUCCCCUAUGCUGAUGAUGCUCAUGAUUUCUGGACAGAUUAUUUUACCAGCCGACCAGCAUUGAAGUUAUACGAGAGACUGAGCAACAGCUGACUACAGACAUGCAACUAGUUGGAGGUGCUUGGUGGGCUCAAGUCCACAUCUGGACCCUUUGGUGAAGGGGACAGUG